rnacentral:rRNA from 1 species
AAUAAUUGACCUCGGAUCAGGUAGGGAUACCCGCUGAACUUAA